rnacentral:snRNA from 1 species
GGAUACGAGGGCAAUCAGGCUGCCCAGGCAGGUGUCGCCUUCCUCCCUCACCACUCCCUGUGCAUCCCUCCCAAAGCUGUUUUCUGGGUUAAAGAGGAUGACCUUCCCUGAUAGAGGAGGAGCAUUCUUCUUAGGUCCAGGGUAUAUGAGUAGCUUGGCUGCCCUGCUAGACAGGAAGAGUAAUCUGCAAAUUGGAACAAGGCCCAGUUUGCAGACACAGUGGUGGGAGAGGGGUACAGGACAGAAAGUAAGGCUGUAUUUUUCCAUUUGAAAAAUCUAU